rnacentral:rRNA from 1 species
UACGAAGGGGGCUAGCGUUGCUCGGAAUCACUGGGCGUAAAGCGCACGUAGGCGGCUUUCUAAGUCAGGGGUGAAAUCCUGGAGCUCAACUCCAGAACUGCCUUUGAUACUGGAGAGCUUGAGUCCGGAAGAGGUGAGUGGAACUCCGAGUGUAGAGGUGAAAUUCGUGGAUAUUCGGAAGAACACCAGUGGCGAAGGCGGCUCACUGGUCCGGUACUGACGCUGAGGGACGAAAGCGUGGGGAGCGAACGGG